rnacentral:rRNA from 1 species
AGUGAACGCUGGCGGUAGGCCUAACACAUGCAAGUCGAACGGCAGCACAGUAAGAGCUUGCUCUUACGGGUGGCGAGUGGCGGACGGGUGAGGAAUACAUCGGAAUCUACUUUUUCGUGGGGGAUAACGUAGGGAAACUUACGCUAAUACCGCAUACGACCUACGGGUGAAAGCAGGGGAUCUUCGGACCUUGCGCGAUUGAAUGAGCCGAUGUCGGAUUAGCUAGUUUGCGGGGUAAAGGCCCACCAAGGCGAAGAUCCGUAGCUGGUCUGAGAGGAUGAGCAGGCACACUGGGACUGAGAUACGGCCCAGUCUCCUACGGGAGGCAGCAGUGGGGAAUAUUGCACAAUGGGCGGAAGCCUGAUGCAGCAACGCCGCGUGCGGGAUGACGGCCUUCGGGUUUUAAACCGCUUUCGCCUGUGACGAAGCGUGAGUGACGGUAAUGGGUAAAGAAGCACCGGCUAACUACGUG